rnacentral:tRNA from 1 species
GGGGAUAUAGCUCAGCGGCAUAAGCACCUGCCUUGCAAGCAGGUGGUCGUGAGUUCGAUCCCUGGUACCG